GGGAAUCCGGUGUGAAUCCGGAGCUGCCCCGCAGCGGUAAUGGUGAAUGAGGCUGAUUCUCUUUCGAGGAUCGGUCGAUUCCACCGAAGCCCGAAGACC
rnacentral:ncRNA from 21 species